rnacentral:rRNA from 1 species
GUCCAUGCCGUAAACGUUGGGCACUAGGUGUGGGUCUCAACCAACGAGAUCCGCGCCGUCGCUAACGCAUUAAGUGCCCCGCCUGGGGAGUACGGUCGCAAGACUAAAACUCAAAAGGAAUUGACGGGGGCCCGCACAAGCAGCGGAGCGUGUUGCUUAAUUCGAUGCAACGCGAAGAACCUUACCUGGGUUUGACAUGUAGGGAAAAGCUCUAGAGAUAGGGUGUCCUUCGGGGCCUUACACAGGUGGUGCAUGGCUGUCGU